rnacentral:tRNA from 1 species
GCCGGUGUAGCUCAGCUUGGUAGAGCGGCUGACUUGUAAUCAGCAGGUCGUGGGUUCGAAUCCCGCCACCGGCUCCA